rnacentral:rRNA from 1 species
GCUUCUUUUUCCCCGGAGCUUGCUCCACCGGAAAAAGAAGAGUGGCGAACGGGUGAGUAACACGUGGGUAACCUGCCCAUCAGAAGGGGAUAACACUUGGAAACAGGUGCUAAUACCGUAUAACAAUCGAAACCGCAUGGUUUUGAUUUGAAAGGCGCUUUCGGGUGUCGCUGAUGGAUGGACCCGCGGUGCAUUAGCUAGUUGGUGAGGUAACGGCUCACCAAGGCCACGAUGCAUAGCCGACCUGAGAGGGUGAUCGGCCACAUUGGGACUGAGACACGGCCCAAACUCCUACGGGAGGCAGCAGUAGGGAAUCUUCGGCAAUGGACGAAAGUCUGACCGAGCAACGCCGCGUGAGUGAAGAAGGUUUUCGGAUCGUAAAACUCUGUUGUUAGAGAAGAACAAGGAUGAGAGUAACUGUUCAUCCCUUGACGGUAUCUAACCAGAAAGCCACGGCUAACUACGUGCCAGCAGCCGCGGUAAUACGUAGGUGGCAAGCGUUGUCCGGAUUUAUUGGGCGUAAAGCGAGCGCAGGCGGUUUCUUAAGUCUGAUGUGAAAGCCCCCGGCUCAACCGGGGAGGGUCAUUGGAAACUGGGAGACUUGAGUGCAGAAGAGGAGAGUGGAAUUCCAUGUGUAGCGGUGAAAUGCGUAGAUAUAUGGAGGAACACCAGUGGCGAAGGCGGCUCUCUGGUCUGUAACUGACGCUGAGGCUCGAAAGCGUGGGGAGCAAACAGGAUUAGAUACCCUGGUAGUCCACGCCGUAAACGAUGAGUGCUAAGUGUUGGAGGGUUUCCGCCCUUCAGUGCUGCAGCUAACGCAUUAAGCACUCCGCCUGGGGAGUACGACCGCAAGGUUGAAACUCAAAGGAAUUGACGGGGGCCCGCACAAGCGGUGGAGCAUGUGGUUUAAUUCGAAGCAACGCGAAGAACCUUACCAGGUCUUGACAUCCUUUGACCACUCUAGAGAUAGAGCUUCCCCUUCGGGGGCAAAGUGACAGGUGGUGCAUGGUUGUCGUCAGCUCGUGUCGUGAGAUGUUGGGUUAAGUCCCGCAACGAGCGCAACCCUUAUUGUUAGUUGCCAUCAUUUAGUUGGGCACUCUAGCAAGACUGCCGGUGACAAACCGGAGGAAGGUGGGGAUGACGUCAAAUCAUCAUGCCCCUUAUGACCUGGGCUACACACGUGCUACAAUGGGAAGUACAACGAGUCGCGAAGUCGCGAGGCUAAGCUAAUCUCUUAAAGCUUCUCUCAGUUCGGAUUGUAGGCUGCAACUCGCCUACAUGAAGCCGGAAUCGCUAGUAAUCGCGGAUCAGCACGCCGCGGUGAAUACGUUCCCGGGCCUUGUACACACCGCCCGUCACACCACGAGAGUUUGUAACACCCGAAGUCGGUGAGGUAACCUUU